rnacentral:lncRNA from 1 species
AAUCAGUCAAUUUCCUCUGAUUACAUUUUUGUUCUAGCUAAAGCUACCACAUCUAUAUAUAUAUAAUGGCUUCAUGUGAUGGAAAGCUUGAAGUAGAAGUUGAGGUGAAGUCUCCUGCACAAAAGUUUUGGGAAGCCCUUAGGGACUCCACCACUGUCUUCCCCAAGGCAUUUCCUCAUGACUACAAAAGCAUCGAUGUCCUCGAAGGUGAUGGCAAAGCUGUUGGAUCCGUUCGGCUUAUUACAUAUGCUGAAGGUAGUUACAUGCAUAUAUUAUCUUACUAUGUACUUAAAUUAUAAAUUCACGUACAUCUGAGACAAAUUUACAGUUUGACAAGAGAUCACUUCCUUAUAAAUAAUGUAUUUCCUUGCCGGUAGGUUCUGCACUUGUGAAAGUAUCAAAGGAGACGAUCGAUGCAGUGGAUGAAGUCGGAAAGGCGGUUGCUUAUAAGGUGAUCGACGGAGAUCUGCUCAAGUACUACAAGAGCUUCAAGUGCACCCUAACCGUGACUCCCAAGGGAGACGGGAGCUUGGUGAAAUGGUCGUCUGUGUAUGAGAAAGCACACGAACAGGUUCCCGAACCAAGCAUCAUCAAGGAUUUUGCUGCCAAGAACUUCCUGGAGCUCGAUGCCUAUGUUCUGGUUAAUUAAUUAUUUGCAAGCUUAAAUAAGCUAGCUUUGGAGAUCAUUGGAGUUUUUCCUUAAUAUACAAUGGCCAAAUAAAUAAGAUGAGUCGAAGUAUGCAUGCUAAUGCACAUAGCUGGUUUUAUCUAAACCCAAAUCUGUAAGCAGAUUGCAUCCUAUUAUAUUUUGGGUUUGGAUCUUGUACUUUUAUAUGCUAGUAAUGUUUCAAUGUUUGUGUCCCCUCACUUUCACUUUUAUCGCACGUACAAUUUGAAAGAAGAAAAAGAAAAACAUGUCAUUUGGAAUAGCAGUACUUUUUUUCUAAUUUAUUUAUUUUUGAUUUUUUUUUAAAUAUAAAGAUUUAGCUGGUUCCUUCACCAUGAUAAUCCAACCUUCUAGUGGUCGAAAAAACUCACAGCAUUACUUUAAUUUUUGAGUUUGGAGGUAAGUUAACAAAGGACAGAGUGAGUUACCUCAUUGGGAAGGAGAUACUCUUUGGAUCUCUUUCACCAAAGUUACCGGAUCAAGUGAUUUAGACUUUUAAAAUUUUAUCCAACGGCUCACUUGUUUUGAUCAUUUAAAAGCUAUAAUAAUUUUUAACCGUUAAAUAAAAUUUAAAAUGUUCGAAUCACUUGAUUUAAUGAUCUUGAUAGAAAAGAUCCGAAGAUGAUCUAUUUCCCCCUCAUUAGACCCAAUGAUCAAUUCCCGAGUCAGAGCCUACCAAUCACCUUGGAUCACAUUUAUUUCUUCAUUUAUUUUUUACGAAAGCACAUUUAUUUCUUCUUUUGCCUACCUCUUUCCUUACGCUUAGUUCUUGUCUAAAGAUAAGUCAAUAAGAAAACUAGUGGUUGAGUUGAGUGGAGGCAUGUUCUUCUCCUUAUUUAAUAGGACUUCGUUGCUGAAAUUUCAGCAAGAGAUCUUACUUACACUUAAUUUCAAGUGAACAUAUAUCUAAAUUUUGAUUUUUUUAAUUAAAAUUUGAACACGUAUUCUUUAGGGAUUGGAUGUAAGCUGAAAUUUCUGCUGAAAUGUUCAGCUGCGAAGUUACUUCCUUUUCUAAAUUGGAGGGCGGGGUAUUUGCUACGGGAUGGAUAGAUCGUCCAAAGACAUGAUUAAUUAAGUCCGAUAUGAUUUUGUGCCACUUUUGUAAUAUCAAAGCACAAAUAAGUUUAAUUAUUGCUAUUUGAUGCAGUACAGGAGCUAGAAAUUGCUGUCUUAAAAAAAUUAGACCAAAUAUAGUAAUAACUGUAGAAAAUUAAUUUUUUUUUGGAUAAUUUAAAAAGUUUAUAUAUACCUUAUCUUCGAAUUUGUUGCAAUGUCAUACAUUUCAUUACUUGUUUAUCAAUUUCUCUGUUAAAUGCUGAUGUAGCAUGAGAAGAGAUUCACUUUCUAUUAAAAAAAUUAAUAAAAAAUUAAAAAAUGAAAAAAAUAUUAACUAAAUAUUAAAAAAUUAAUUAAAAAAACAAAAAAAAAACGCCGAAACCUGGUUUCUUUGAAGUCAAAAGGAUCAAAAGCAAAUCCAUUGCUCUCUCUUUAUCUGUCAGGUUCGUCUUUGUACUCUCUCUUUUUAUUACUUUUCUGCUUUAUUUCUUUGAAUUUUGUAUUUUUGCUUCAUUUCUCGGACAUUAUGUUUGAUACAAGAAAACCCACCUCAGAAAGUUUGGUUCUUGGCAAGGGUUUUGCUGCUGCUGCUGCUACUUGAUUGUACAUACUCUCUCCUCUGUAUCUCUCUCUCUUCCAGAGGGUGUGUUUCUGUGAAAUGGGUGCUCAAGAUUUCUGGGUUUUCAUUUUUGUUAUUGGGUUUUGCUUACAAGCUCGGGUUUCGAGCUCUCAAAACCUGACAUGCAAUCCAAAUGAUUUGAAGGCAUUGGAGGAUUUCAUGAACGGUAUAGAUUCUGUGAUUGAUGCGUGGGGUAGCAAUUUCUCAUCUGAUUGCUGCAAAUGGGCAGGCAUCACUUGCAAUUCUUCUUCCUCUCUCGGAUUGAACGAUUCCAUUGAUACUUAUAGAGUGGUUAAGUUGGAGCUUCCAAAGAGAAGGCUAGUGGGAAAUCUCUCUGCAUCUUUAGGCACUUUGGACCAGCUUAGAACCCUCAAUCUCUCUCAAAAUUUCCUCAAACACUCGCUUCCAAUUUCGCUCUUCCAUUUGCCGAAUUUAGAGUUCUUAGACUUGAGCUCUAAUGAUUUUUCCGGCCCCAUUCCUUUCGAUAUCGAAUUGCCUUCAAUCCGGUUGCUUGAAAUUUCUCAAAACUUUUUGAAUGGUACCCUUCCGGCCAGCAUCUGUGACAAGUCUACUCAGCUUCGAGCACUGAAGUUGGCUGUGAACUACUUCUCUGGCAACCUCCCACCAGGUCUUGGCAAUUGUACUUCCGUGGAGGACCUCCGUCUAGGCAUGAAUAAUUUCAAUGGCGGUGUGCCCGAAGGUCUAUUUCGUCUGCGAAAGCUAACCCAGUUGAACAUUCAAGAUAACAAGCUUUCCGGGGUGCUCAGCGAAGAAUUCGGUAACCUCAUUAAUCUUGUUCAUUUGGAUAUCUCAACUAAUGAAUUUUCAGGAACCAUCCCAGAUGUUUUCCACAGGCUUGGAAGAUUACAGAAUCUUGUAUUCCAUUCAAAUCGUUUUGGUGGUCGGAUACCCCCUUUCUUGUCGAGUUCCUCGACCAUCUCUUUGCUUAAUUUGAGAAACAAUUCAUUGCAGGGCACAAUUGAUCUUAAUUGUUCAGCAAUGACUAGUUUGACCACUCUUGAUCUCGGUUCCAAUCAGUUUGAUGGGCCUAUUCCCUCCAAUCUUCCCUCUUGUCGACAUUUGAAUAAUGUCAAUCUUGCCCGUAACAACUUCACGGGCGAAAUACCAGAAAGCUUCAAGAGUUUCCAUAGCCUCUCUUACCUCUCGCUGUCAAAUUCCAGCGUUUCCAAUAUCUCUUCUGCCUUACAAAUUUUACAGCAAUGCCGGAACCUGACUACUUUGGUUCUCACCUUGAACUUCCGCGGCGAAGAAUUUCCUGCUGAUCCGACCCUUCAUUUUGAAAAGUUGAAGGUUCUUAUUAUUGCAAAUUGUAGGCUCACAGGUGUAAUACCUCAAUGGUUGAGUACUAGCAGCAGAUUGCAAUUUUUGGAUAUAUCGUGGAACCAAUUGCAAGGAACAAUUCCAGGCUGGUUUGGCAAUUUUAGCAGUCUUUUCUACUUGGACAUGUCGAAUAAUUCACUUACGGGUGAAAUCCCUAUAAGCUUAACUGGAUUACCGAGCCUCAAUAGUGGGAGGAUCUCCAUUGAGGAACCUUCCCCUGAUUUCCUUCUACUCAUGAAGAGGAAUGUAAGUGCACGAGCGUUGCAGUACAAUCAAGUGUGGCGAUUUCCACCGACGCUGGGACUAAGUAACAAUAAUCUUAGCGGACCAGUCUGGCCCGAGUUUGGGAAACUGAAAUUGCUUCAUGUUUUGGAUCUCAAGUUCAACAGUCUAGCAGGACCGAUUCCGAGUAGUUUAUCUGGCAUGUCCAACUUAGAGACUCUGGAUUUGUCUCAUAACAAGCUUUCGGGGACACUCCCGCCUUCGCUGGUCAAUCUCAACUUCUUGUCCAAGUUUAGCGUUGCAGACAAUCAGUUAUAUGGGGUGAUCCCUACAGGAGGUCAGUUUUCGACCUUCUCAAGUUCAAGCUUUGAAGGGAACAGUCUUUGCGGAUACGAUGCUUCCCCUUGUCCAGCAGGACUGGAUGCUCCUCUGCGAACAUGGUUCGGGAAAUCGAGCAAGGAUUAUACAGGAGUUAUUGCCGGAGUCGGUGUUGGAUUUGUAUUUGGAAUAGCAUGUUUCAUUGGAAUAGAUAGGUACGUCUGGACAUUUUAAGGAGAGUACAUCCUUCUUUUUAUUUUAUUUGUAUUUGGAAUAGCAUGUACAUUUACGCUCGUGGUCUAAUGUAUAGAGUCGUAGCUUAUGGUUGUGUGAGUGAGAGAAAUUCCAGCACCGACAUAUUCGUAUGCAUCGACACUCACACACGAAUGAUGGGAGGUGUCGCAUACGAACGUGUGUGCAAGAAUCUCUCCCAAGUGAUGAAGGUGGAUUCCUUUGAAUGUAACAAAAGAACAGCAUAUGAAAUGGAAGGGUUGCAAAUUAGAUAAUACUUGGCUCAGACCAUGCAUGAAGAGCUCCUUAGUUUACCCACUUACACAUGCCUAAAGACCAUGCCUGGAGAGCUCCAAAUUAUGGACAUAGAUCCUCUCCGGUUCUCACUAUUUAGAGUCCAAAGAGUAAGAAAUCCGGAUCACACAAGUUGAAUCUGACAGUUCUUAUUAACUCAAUACCCAUGCCCACUUCACACAAAUUACAGACCCUAGUCACUCUUUCUCUCUCUUGAACUAUCCAAAUUUUCUAGUCUCCCAAGGCUCCAAACAAUGAGAUGCAACGAUAAUCCAAAUUCACCACCACAAUCGAAUUAUGAGGCCCGAUCGUCGAACUAACUAACCGAUACGACCUACACACGGAAAAAGCCACCCCUAAUCGACGUUUGGGCUGGUUUAAGUCUCCCUCCAUUGCCCGAGCCAAAUGCAGGUCCUCACUUGUGCUUUCUUAGUUUCAAAAGGCCUUGGGCUAAUUACGACCUAGGAACUAUACAGCAAUUAAAGUAUUGGGCCCUUCUCCCAUUCCUUGCACAUUCAUGAUGCAUGUGAAAGCUACCAGUUUUUGUGGUGUUUCUGAGGGAGGUUAAUAAAGUGGCAGUUGAGCUUAUUCUUACUGAAUUUAAGACCUCCAAAGCACUCAAACUAGUAUAUAUAUGGAUCCCUAUUCUCAGAAAUCUCAAGCAAUUCUUUAAGAAAAUCAGUCAAUUUCCUCUGAUUACAUUCUUGUUCUAGCUAAAGCUACCACAUCUAUAUAUAUAAAAUGGCUUCAUGUGAUGGAAAGCUUGAAGUAGAAGUUGAGGUGAAGUCUCCUGCACAAAAGUUUUGGGAAGCCCUUAGGGACUCCACCGUCUUCCCCAGGGCAUUUCCUCAUGACUACAAAAGCAUCGAUUUCCUCGAAGG